GACGAACGCUGGCGGCGUGCCUAAUACAUGCAAGUCGAACGCGGCCGUCUGGUACAUGUGCGGACUGGUUGGGAAGCCAUCGGGAGCUUCCCGUGUGGUGCAUAUAACUCCGAGAGGGGGACGCCAAUUCGAAACAAUUGCUUAGAACCAAAGAUUAAUUGGCUUUGGAGGGGCCCGCGUGAGAUUAGCUAGUUGGUAAGGUAAAAGCCUACCAACGCGACGUUCCAUAGCUGGUCUGUGAGGAUGAUCAGCCACACUGGGACUGAGACACGGCCCAGACUCCUACGGGAGGCAGCAGUGGGGAAUAUGGGACAAUGGGCGAAAGCCUGAUCCAGCAAUGCCGCGUGAGUGAUGAAGGCCUUAGGGUUGUAAAGCUCUUUUACCCGGGAUGAUAAUGACAGUACCGGGAGAAUAAGCUCCGGCUAACUCCGUG
rnacentral:rRNA from 1 species